rnacentral:rRNA from 1 species
CGAGUGGCGCACGGGUGAGUAACGCGUACACGACCUACCUUAAAGAGGGGGAUAGCCUCGGGAAACUGAGAAUAAUACCCCAUGUGGUUAAUUUAACUAAAAAGAUUAAUUAAAGGCUUCGGCCGCUUUAAGAUGGGUGUGCGUACUAUUAGAUAGUUGGUGAGGUAACGGCUCACCAAGGCAAAGACGGGUAGCCGGUCUGAGAGGACGGUCGGUCACACUGGAACUGAGACACGGUCCAGACACCUACGGGUGGCAGCAGUCGAGAAUCAUUCACAAUGGGGGAAACCCUGAUGGUGCGACGCCGCGUGGGGGAUGAAUGGCUUCGGUCAGUAAACCCCUGUCAUUAGUGAACAAACCUUUUAGAGUAAUAUUUUAAAAGCUGAUAGUAGCUAAAGAGGAAGGGACGGCUAACUCUGUGCCAGCAGCCGCGGUAAUACAGAGGUCCCAAGCGUUGUUCGGAUUCACUGGGCGUAAAGAGUGCGUAGGUGGCUAGGUAAGUUUGAUGUGAAAGCUCCGAGCUCAACUCGGAAAUUGCAUUGAAAACUGCUUGGCUAGAGGGUCGGAAGGGAGACUGGAAUUUUCGGUGUAGCAGUGAAAUGCGUAGAUAUCGAGAGGAACACCAGUGGCGAAGGCGAGUCUCUGGACGAAUCCUGACACUGAGGCACGAAAGCUAGGGUAGCAAACAGGAUUAGAUACCCUGGUAGUCC